rnacentral:rRNA from 1 species
UCGAGAAUCUUCCGCAAUGGACGAAAGUCUGACGGAGCGACGCCGCGUGCGGGAUGAAGGCCCUUGGGUUGUAAACCGCUGUCAGAGGGGAUGAAAUCUUCGGAGGUACUCCUCCGAAGUUGACAGAGCCUCAAAGGAAGCACGGGCUAAGUACGUGCCAGCAGCCGCGGUAACACGUACUGUGCGAACGUUAUUCGGAAUCACUGGGCUUAAAGGGUGCGUAGGCGGCGAUUCAAGUCAGAUGUGAAAUGCCUGAGCUCAACUGAGGCAUUGCGUUUGAAACUGAUUCGCUGGAGUAUUUCAGGGGUGUGCGGAACUGCCAGUGGAGCGGUGAAAUGUGUUGAUAUUGGCAGGAACACCGGAGGCGAAAGCGGCACACUGGGGAAUAACUGACGCUGAGGCACGAAAGCCAGGGGAGCGAACGGGAUUAGAUACCCCUGUAGUCCCUGAGCGGGCUGGCAAGGCGCAU